UUUUGCUUUCGCUUUUGCCUCAUAAAUACCAACCUUAGACAGGCUCCGUGUGCACAUUCUGCCCCGGCUGGCUUAGUUCUCCACAGCUCACAUAUUGUCUUUUCACACACAGGAAGUCUACCUUCCUUCUGCAAGCCGCUCUUUCUAAUACAACGCCAGGCAGAUCAGCGGACGCGUGCAGUGCCUGUGCCUUCAGGAUGAUAACAAGCCCUGUGGGACAUCUUCUCAGAUUCCUGGUGGGAGGCGUAUUAUUCAUCUUGGUUACCAUCUGGCGAGGGAGCACUGCUGCUGCUCCAGGAGCUGCAGGCAGCAUUGGCUUCCAGAAUAACAGUAGGAGACCUCAGACACCACCGAGCAACAGGAGAGGUGCCAACUGACCCCAGCAUGUCAAGUGUCUUCCACUGGGACCAAGUCGAGUCCUUCUUGUCCAGGUCCCAAAUGGCUCCCGCACGCUUGUACCCUAGACCUCGUGCUUCCAUUCAGCUGGGAGAUCCUGCUGCCCUCUGCUAAAGAGAAGGCAGAAAUCGAGGGGCCCAUGACAGCAUGUCGCCGCCCCCAGUCUUAUGCUUCUGUGUGGCUGUAGCUCCCAACUCAGCCCUGUAGGCCACACCCUGUGCUUUCCUGCCCUUGAUCCCUGGAGACCCCAGUGCUUGCAGCUGAUCAUCUCUUCUCAGUUGCUCAUUUAGCAAAGGCUGUAUCUCAUAAAUCCAUGGGGAGCAUUGAUGUGAUCUGUUCAGAUGUAAAUGUGACCUUUAUCCUGAAUCUCAAGGACUUCUGGCCUCCCGAGAGCUUAUAUUCACCAGUUUUCCUCACUCUUACAAAACUCCUGAUGCAAGCUUGUAUGCACAAAAAGAGCAAUUUAUGCAGCUCACAGUUUUGGAGGGUCAAAGCCAUGGCACUUCCAUUGGCUUAUAUGGUACAAAAACAAUGAAAGCUUGGGUGGCAGUUAAGGGGAAGGGGAGGGUGGAGGGAAAAUAAAGCAUGUUACAAAGCCUGGAAACUGACACAGACCCAUUAUUCUGGAUCAUUAAUAUGCACUAAUAACUUCUUUAAUUUGUUAAGAGUUUCAGAUUCCAUACAGCAAGUACUAUAAAGAAACUUACACCAAAAUUCUGUGCAUUGUGGUUCUCAAUAAAGUAAGGACUCUGGGCA